AGACGCACCGAGAGGGAUAGAUAAGACAGGGAGUUGGGGAGGGGGGUGGUGGGGGGCAAAUGUCCAUCAAGGCGAGAAAAAUCGGAUGAGCUGAGGGGCUGACGUGUUGGAUGAGUGACUCAUCCUCCUACCCCCGCAAUUUCUUUUUGAGAGCCUGUGGAAUGAUGAACUGCUAUUUCAGCACCAGUCUCGCAGUGCAUUUCACAGUGACUGCUGAUACACAACCACAGGUGGAAGAUUAAAUCAGUUCCAAGUAAGGGGUCUAACGCUGAAUUAAUCCUCCGCUCCUGGUCCAUUCCGUCCGCUCUUAUUGCUGUUUGCUCAUUUGGAAAAGCCUUCUGUCCAGGCAAAUGAGGUGAAAGUUGAAUAUCGGCAUGUCGAAGGAGUUAAGGGGGCAUUUAUACAUUUAAAGUUAAUUCCUUCUGUCAAACUUUGCUUUUAAUUUUACCGGCUGUGGCAGUUCUGGAAUUUUUAUACAGACGCUCCUCUGUUUACGAACUUCCAUCUUACAAACUUUCAGACAUUCGAACGAAGAGGACUGUAAGU